rnacentral:rRNA from 1 species
UACGAAGGGGGCUAGCGUUGCUCGGAAUCACUGGGCGUAAAGCGCACGUAGGCGGCUUUUUAAGUCAGGGGUGAAAUCCUGGAGCUCAACUCCAGAACUGCCUUUGAUACUGAGGAUCUUGAGUCCGGGAGAGGUGAGUGGAACUGCGAGUGUAGAGGUGAAAUUCGUAGAUAUUCGCAAGAACACCAGUGGCGAAGGCGGCUCACUGGCCCGGUACUGACGCUGAGGUGCGAAAGCGUGGGGAGCAAACAGG